rnacentral:rRNA from 1 species
GAGGGGAGUGAAAUAGAACCUGAAACCCUGCACUUACAAGCUGUGGAAGCACAUUUCUUGUGUGACCGCGUACUUUUUGUAGAACGGGCCAACGAGUUACGUUAAGUAGCAAGGUUAAGCACUUAAGGUGUGGGGCCGUAGCGAAAGCGAGUUUUAACUGAGCGUUCAGUUACUUGACGUAGACCCGAAACCGGGCGACCUACCCAUGAGCAGGAUGAAGCGAAAGUAAAAUUUCGUGGAGGUCCGAACCCACGAGCGUUGAA